rnacentral:rRNA from 1 species
UACGAAGGGGGCUAGCGUUGUCCGGAAUUACUGGGCGUAAAGCGUGCGCAGGCGGUUCGUUAUGUCUGAUGUGAAAGCCCCGGGCUCAACCUGGGAAUGGCAUUGGAAACUGGCGAGCUUGAGUGUGGCAGGAGGGGGGUGGAAUUCCGCGUGUAGCAGUGAAAUGCGUAGAGAUGUGGAGGAACACCGAUGGCGAAGGCAGCCUUCUGGGCCAACACUGACGCUCAUGCACGAAAGCGUGGGGAGCAAACAGG